UGUUGAAUCCUUCCUACAGGCUCCAAUACCACUAAGCCUUGGAGAGGAUUUGCUUUCCUUGUUUUCUUCGAAGUAUGCCUUUUAAUUCUGACCAUUUUCCUUUGAUGUCCUUGAUGCUUAGAACUCAAACAUCUCUUGCCUGCUCUUGCAGUAAAAUUCUGAAAUAAGAUUACAAAAUUCUAAUCAGGUCUAGAGACUGACAGCCAUGAGGAUGAUUUGCAUAUUCUUUGCCAGUGUCAUCUUGUCUUUCCUGGCUGGUUCAGGCAAAGGAGAUUUUGUCACACUGGGCUGCCUUUUCCGAGGUGGAACCUGUGAAACUAACACCUGUAAGGAAAAUGAAAUACAGAUUGGGAAUUGCUCCAAGAUUCAAAAAAUAUGCUGUAAGAAACCGAAACCAGCUCUAAAGGGAACAGACACCUGGAGGAACUAGCCCUAGAUCCAUGGACAGAUAGAUAAGUGAUGAGUUUGCUAAUAUGUUUUGGUACAGUUUUGUUUUGUGCACAUGCCAUUUUCUUUAAAAAGUUUGAAGAUGU